AGGGAAUCGACUGCAUCAGAGACCGCAAUCUGCUGAGCAUCAUGGGACCGAGGCACGCAAAAGCUCUCAUAAAUAUCGCGGACUGCGUCAUGGAAGCGACGCCAGCAGCC